GACGAACGCUGGCGGCGUGCUUAACACAUGCAAGUCGAACGGAAAGGCCCUGCUUUUGUGGGGUGCUCGAGUGGCGAACGGGUGAGUAACACGUGAGUAACCUGCCCUUGACUUUGGGAUAACUUCAGGAAACUGGGGCUAAUACCGGAUAGGAGCUCCUGCUGCAUGGUGGGGGUUGGAAAGUUUCGGCGGUUGGGGAUGGACUCGCGGCUUAUCAGCUUGUUGGUGGGGUAGUGGCUUACCAAGGCUUUGACGGGUAGCCGGCCUGAGAGGGUGACCGGCCAAAUUGGGACUGAGAUACGGCCCAGACUCCUACGGGAGGCAGCAGUGGGGAAUAUUGCACAAUGGGCGGAAGCCUGAUGCAGCAACGCCGCGUGCGGGAUGACGGCCUUCGGGUUGUAAACCGCUUUCGCCUGUGACGAAGCGUGAGUGACGGUAAUGGGUAAAGAAGCACCGGAUAACUACGUG
rnacentral:rRNA from 1 species